rnacentral:lncRNA from 1 species
GGCGUGGCUACUAGGAGAAGGACGUACGGUCCUGCUAGUAGAGGAAUAUGUCGAGUUUCUCUAGGGCGCCCCAGCAAUGGGCCACUUUUGCUAGAAUAUGGUAUCUCUUAGAUGGGAAAAUGCAGCCACCUGGCAAACUUGCUGCUAUGGCAUCUAUAAGACUUCAGGGAUUACAUAAACCUGUGUACCAUGCACUGAAUUUCUGCUCAGGCAUUUAUAUUCUGAGAGAGGCCUCGCCUGAUUCCUCUGCUCACCCUUUCACUCUAUAUACCUUUACCUUGCUUUAAAAAAAAUAGUGUUCAUGUAUCACCUGAAAUGUUAUGUGACUGUGGGGAUCAUGUUGUUAUAAUGAACACAAGACACAUUGCAUUUUCUGGAAACAAAUGGGAACAAAAAGUAUACUCUUCGCAUACUGGCUACCCAGGUGGAUUUAGACAAGUAACAGCUGCUCAGCUUCACCUGAGGGAUCCAGUGGCAAUUGUAAAACUAGCUAUUUAUGGCAUGCUGCCAAAAAACCUUCACAGAAGAACAAUGAUGGAAAGGUUGCAUCUUUUUCCAGAUGAGUAUAUUCCAGAAGAUAUUCUUAAGAAUUUAGUAGAGGAGCUUCCUCAACCACGAAAAAUACCUAAACGUCUAGAUGAGUACACACAAGAAGAAAUAGACGCCUUCCCAAGAUUGUGGACUCCACCUGAAGAUUAUCGGCUAUAAGAGAAUAAGAAUUGCAGAAAAUAACAGUGAAGUGAUUGAAACUUUCUUCUGAUGAGUUUCUCUAACCUACAGGAUGGAGUAAAACAACUGCUACAGUUCAGCACCUGUUUUAUGUGCCGAAUCACUGUGGGGAAAGGUCAGGAAGGUAUAGUCCUUCAAUAGGAAAUUGUAAUUAAAAUAUAAUUUUAUAGAACCAUUUUUAUGUAAUCUGAUUUGAAUGUUAUAGUUGAUAAUAAUAAAAUCACUUACUUGGUUGACU